rnacentral:rRNA from 1 species
UACGGAGGGUGCAAGCGUUAAUCGGAAUUACUGGGCGUAAAGCGCAUGUAGGUGGUUAACUAAGUCAGCUGUGAAAUCCCCGGGCUCAACCUGGGAAUUGCAUUGGAGACUGCAAGGCUAGAAUCUGGCAGAGGGGGGUAGAAUUCCACGUGUAGCAGUGAAAUGCGUAGAUAUGUGGAGGAACACCGAUGGCGAAGGCAGCCCCCUGGGUCAAGAUUGACGCUCAGGCACGAAAGCGUGGGGAGCAAACAGG